rnacentral:rRNA from 1 species
UACGUAGGGGGCUAGCGUUGUCCGGAAUCAUUGGGCGUAAAGAGCGUGUAGGCGGUCCGGUAAGUCCGCUGUGAAAGUCCAGGGCUCAACCCUGGAAUGCCGGUGGAAACUGUCGGGCUGGAGUCCGGAAGAGGCGAGUGGAAUUCCUGGUGUAGCGGUGAAAUGCGCAGAGUAUCAGGAGGAACACCAAUGGCGAAGGCAGCUCGCUGGGACGGUACUGACGCUGAGACGCGAAAGCGUGGGGAGCAAACAGG